UUACAUUCCCUUUUUCAUUGUUUGUCCUUAUUGGAAUUCUAGUUUUGUCAAUUGUAAAAAUCUGUUUUAGCUAUAUUUCUUCUUCUCGGUUUACUGUUCCAUUGGUCACUUUUGGCUUGGUUUGUGGUAUUAUUUCACCUCCUUAUGUUGCAGAUUUGGUGCUUACUAGUUGUCCAAACCUAAGGUAGCAUCUUAGGGAGUGGAGAUUGGUUUUCGUAAACACUCAACAGGUGGCUUUGGCCGGAAGCUCAUAUACACUCAUCCAGAGAAUAGGUG
rnacentral:lncRNA from 1 species